GGCUUGUUAGCGUAGUUGGUAGAGCACUACACCAGGAUUGUGGAUGUCAUGGGUUCAACUCCCAUAUAAGCCU